UACAGAGGGUGCAAGCGUUGUUCGGAAUUAUUGGGCGUAAAGGGCGUGUAGGCGGUUUGCUAAGUCAUGUGUGAAAUCCCUCGGCUUAACCGAGGAACGACGCAUGAUACUGGCAAGCUAGAGUACGGAAGAGGCGAGUGGAAUUCCCGGUGUAGCGGUGAAAUGCGCAGAUAUCGGGAGGAACACCAAUUGCGAAGGCAGCUCGCUGGGACGUUACUGACGCUGAGACGCGAAAGCGUGGGGGAGCAAACAGGG
rnacentral:rRNA from 1 species